GUCUCAACACAUAUUCAGUUAAAAUUUAAAUACCGAUGUUUCAAAAUUAUAAAUUGCAAUGAGAUGACAUGUAUAUAUGUUUUCAUAAACUGCCAUAGACUUAUCAUAUCUGUUUUAUUUACAAAAUGUGGGUCAAGAGAAGGGCAUACGUGUAGUAUACAUAUCUUACUUAUACAUACAAUGCAUACAUUUGCCUAUGAGAGGGCAUAUGCAGACUUGUGAUUAAUUUACAUUAUUUAAAAAAGGUUUUGCCAACCUACAUGUUUGUGUGAAACACAAAACUUCAGGUUUGAUAUAUUUCUUAGGCCACUGAAAUUUCAAAGUAAUAAUAUAUGUAUACUAUAGUCUAGGAAAUUAUAAUUCAACACAUGCCCCCCCCCCCCCCUUCCACUUUUUAUCCGGUUCCCUCAUACCCCUAGAUAGUAGGUCUAUCCAGAUAUUUGUUUUUCAUUACUUUUAUACAUGUAGUUCAAGGUAUGUUAUUUUCGUAACAGUUAUUUUCAUAACGAUAUUAUUAUUUUCUUAAUAAAAGAGUUGUGAGAGCCCAUGUUUACAAAUGUGGUAUACAUUUACAUGACAUCCGUUCGUUUACAAUCACUGGCACAGGUGGGAGUUAUAUUUUAUGCACAUAUGGAAUACAUAUAUACAUACAAAAAAAUACAUCUACUGUAUGUCGUGUGUUUAAACUUACAGAUGUUAUUAUAAAUCGCGUUGUGAAAUAGCAGAGGAAAUGUGAGUUGAACUUUUGAAUACAAAUUUAUGGCAUUUUUUUCACUCACCAAACGAAACUAUGAUUUCGUUGUCCAACUUGAAUGCAUCCACCAACUUCCUCUUCUUGCAAGAAACUUUGUUAGGUCUCUCAAUGACUGUAUAAACAGUAUUUAAUCUCUCAGCAUGCAGCACUCGGACAUUACGAUGCAUCAAUCAACAACUUUGUUUACGUAGCGCAUCUAUGUACAUGGAUUGGUGGUUGGUUUAACAUUUCGAUUAGCAAAAAGUUUCACACAGAUGAAACAUUUGAUCUACCAUUAUUACAGACAUUGACGUAUACUUAAGUGGUAUGUGCAUAUUUUCUGUAGGCGAGUCAGUCACAGCAACAAAACACUUUCGGAACCCCUUUUUGUUUUUAGACUAUUCUAUGACGGAGUAAGGAAUUCCGGAAAAUGAAUUCACGUGAAAAUACACAAUUUUUACUGAUCACGUGUUUGCUAUCCGUCGCUACCUUAAGAUUUAUCAUUUUUCAGAAAAGAAUUUCAUUAUUUAUUUUUACAAUAGGGGCUGUAAGCUCGCAAACGAGAUGACGCGAGAUUUGAGUAUUUCCGGUGACAAACAAACCUUUACGGUUUGCAUGAAAUCAUACAAGUUGGAAAUAUCCUGCAGUUUUUAUCGUUGUUUUGGACGAUGGAAAGAAUUGGACGUUAUGGGGAAAGUUUUGCAGGUUAGAUGCCAUUGAAACCAGUCUCUUGAAAUAUUCCCGGACACCUUGAUACCCACGGCAUGACAUACAGUUCCUGUAAGUGCUGACUUACCGUCAAAGCAGUGACUUGUGUAACACCUAAUGGUGCAAUCACUUAUUUUUCAACUUUGAAUACAGGAUCAACAUGUGCUCCACAGCAGAAUUCCCGCAAAACCCACGACUGGAAUUAAGCAGUUUUUUUUUUUUUAAAUUUGAUAUAAUUUUCUUCAUUUAUUAUUUUUUGCAAAUCCUUUAUGAAUAAAACAAAACGUGUGUGUCAAAUAGUUUAGUAUAAAUAAAAAUGCACUACUGAU